GACUCCCCACCUUCCCUCCGUGGUUGGUGAAAUGUGUAUCUUUGUUGAGAAUAAUGCAAAAGCUAAAGCCAGGCUCCCACCUCGUUGGCUCUGCAUUUUAAGCAACUCAAAUGUUCUGCUUUUCAGUGAGUGGAUCAACUCAAGAAUAGAAUCAGAGAUGAUUUGGUACCAGCAAGACACAUUGGCAGGCAUGAUGUAGUAAGGCUUUUAGGUAGAAAUCCCCACGAUAGACACGAAGAACUAAAUGGCAGGAGUGUAGGAGCCUUGCUACUGAAAACACGGAGCAUGAGAACAUGGCCGGCACUGGCUGGGGGAAGGGAAGUGGCAACCAUACCCAGUGGGACAUGGGACAGCUGACUGCUUUUGGGGCACUCUUCUGAGCCCAUUAGAAGCACCUGGGGCUGAAUGCUAAGCACAUGGAUAUCAACGGUGCUAUUUAACCUUCAGUGAUAACCAUGCACUGCUCAAUUCUGCUUUGAUCACUCUGAGGCCCUUUCCUCUCAACCUGCCCAAGUGGAGCUAACUUGUGAUUAAGAAAUCCCCUACAAAGAUGUGGAAGAGAAUACAGGUCAUGCUAACAGAAUCUGUCCUGCUAAUGAAAGGCACUUUCCUGAGAAGGACCUGCCCUCUGGUCCUUUAAUCUCAUACCUAUAUUCUGAAAUCUUGUUUUCUCUAAAUCACAAUCUGUUUCAGGUGAAGCAGUCAAGGUCACUUAUAAAUGACCCUCAAAGUCUACCCUUGCCCCAUGGCUCAGCAGUGUCCUCUAAGCAUUUAUGUGUGUGAAAACGUGUAUUCGUCUUACUUCCUUGUUGAUAUGCCCCACAUACAAUAAAGGGUAGAAAGCUUGUCAUUCUGACCAAGUUUAAUGGCAGCUGGAUUCUUUGUUAUAUAUCUUAGAGAAGUUAUUCUACAGUUCUUUAAAUACAUAAACACUAAAGAUGUGAACAUAAAUCACAUAAGAGCCUGCAGUGAGCAGAAAAUUAUAACCCAACCAGUUUCCCUAUCUGGAGGAAAUAUAUCACAAAGUUCUGAUACUCAAUAGUCCGUCUCUUCAGAUAUCUCUGUCAAUUAGAGCAGGCUAGGGUUGCAAUAGGCAUCUUGGGGUGCACACUUUGCACCUUAUAAAAUGACAGUUCAGCUCACUCUGUAAUGGUGUUUCAUCAUAAGAAAACAAAAAGAAGCCGGGCGUGGUGGCACACGCCUUUAAUCCCAGCACUUGGGAGGCAGAGGCAGGCAGAUCUCUGAGUUUGAGGCCAGCCUGGUCUACAGAGUGAGUUCCAGGACAGCCAGGGCUACCCAGAGAAACCCUGUCUCCAAAAAACCAAAAAAAAAAAAAAAAAAAAAAAGAAAGCAAAAAAAAAAAAACAAAACAAAACAAAACAAAAGAACCCGAAACAAAAGAUAACAACGUAGCCAUUCCUGGAACCCAUGCAAACCUGUGCUUAUUCACAGAGUAAAGAGAUAACUUGAGAAUUAUCAGGCUGGAAUACUUAGUUAAUGAAAUGCUUUCCUUUCGAGCAUAAAGAGCCAAGUCUCAUUCCUAGCAUCCACAUACAAAGUUAGAUAGGAAGGCAUGUGCUUACAGUCUCAGUGCUGAAAAGCUAGAGACGGAAAGACCCCUGGACGAGCUAGACAGCCAGUCUCGGUCGCUGGUGAACUGUAGGUUCAAAAGCCCAAGUGGAGAGCACCAGAAGAAUGAUCUUGAUGCUGGCCCCCAGCCUCUACCGGGAAUUCUUAGGCUGGGGACAAAGCUAAGCAUCAGAGCAUCUAUCCGGUGUGCAUGAAGCCCUGGCUCCAAUUCUGUAAAACAAACAAAGCCCCAGCAUAUAGCCCAUUUUAAAGAUGAGUAUACUGCUUUAUCUUAAUAUAAUUUAAAAGAUCAAUCUUUGAGAAAAAAAACAGGCUUGGCAACUCCCAACAAACAGCGUGUGCCUCGGCAGUGAUGCCAAACGCAGGCUCUGUGGCCAUCUCGGCACCAAGAUGUGGAAUUGUACUGUUGCUUGGUUUUCUAAGUCCGGUAUGGAAAGGUGACAGCUGUCUGUGUGCAGGAAUGUUCAGAUUCGGAAAUACUUGACACUGUAGUCAUUUGAACCAAUUAAGGUUCUGGACAUUUGCUUGAAGUUAGUCUUGUAAAUGUGAACCAAAUCCCUUUAAAGGUGGCAGGCAGAGUUAACAUUCAGGCUCCGGAUGUGCAGACCCUGGAACAUAUUUGACAAAUGUGUCCAAUGCACCUAAUCCCUGGACUGCAGAUGCCCUGGGGACAGAGAAGCUGUUUCUUAUUUCUGUUAGAACAUGAGACUUUUAAGUAUAUCACAGGAUAUAUUUUAAGGAACUACCUUCAAAAAAUUAUAAGAUAGCCAUUAGAAGUAUCUUUAUUAUAUAUAUAUCAUUUUCAGAAUACAGAGAUUACUAUUUUUAAUCAAGCUGUCUUACUUAGAAGUUCUAAUUAUUAUAUAUCUCCCUAAUAUGUAGGUAGUCAUUGAUAAGAUAUUUAUCUUGAUUCUAAUAUUUUCUUCCUUUUAAAUAUGAUGCGUGGUAUGAUGAUUCUUGAUUUUUUUGGAAGUGAAAACUAAAAUUUGUUUACAAUGUAGUAAAUUUUUUAAUCUUCAAAAAAGCUUUUGAUGCCCUAUACGUGUCUACAAACUCCUAUUUCUUUUCCAGGCCUAGGACCUUUGACUUUGUAUUGUCAUUCAUGCAAAGCUCAGGAUAAGAAGCCUGUCAGACACAGGGCUUUCCCGAAGAGGCGCCCUUCCGUGCAGCAUGGGUUACAGCAGAGCAGAUGUUCAGAAUUGGGAUUUCCAAGAUUUUUGAAAUUAUUUUAGAGGAAAAAUCUCCCUAAAAAAAGAGUAGUUUUCACGAUGUAUGCCGGUCAGGGGAGUCCAACCUUUUGACAUUGUGACUAGAUGUCUA